GGGCCCGUAGCUCAGCCUGGUUAGAGCGCACGCCUGAUAAGCGUGAGGUCGGUGGUUCAAAUCCACCCGGGCCCA
rnacentral:tRNA from 1 species